GGCGGUACCCUACUAGAAAGAGCCGCUACUUCGUGCCAGAAGCGUCGGUAAUACGGGGGCUCCAAGCGUUAUCCGGUGUUAUUGGGCGUAAAGAGUCGUGUAGGUGGUUGGGUAAGUUAUCUUUCAAAUAUCUNUGCUUAACAAAGAGGAGGGGGAUAAUACUGCUCGACUAGAAUUUUCUCAAGGGAGAUCGGAACUGAGGGAGGAGUAGUGAAAUGCGUUGAUACCCUCGGGAACACCAGUGGCGUAGGCGGAUCUCUGGGAGAAGAUUGACACUGAGACACGAAAGCUAGGGGAGCGAAGCAGAUUAGAGACCUGCGUAGUCCUAGCCGUAAACGCAUGCUUGCUAGCUGCAUGAAUCUACCUUCGGGUGGUAUCGUGUGGCGAAGGUAACCCGUUAAGCAAGCCGCCUGGAAAGUACGGCCGCAAGGCUGAAAUUCAAAGGAAUUGGCGGGGAGGCACACAACCAGUGGAACAUGUGGUUUAAUUCGAGACUAACCGAAGAACCUCACCAGGGUUUGACAUGUAGCUGCACGUCUUAAGAAAUUAAGACUCUCUUGAAGGUGCUACACAGGUGCUGCAUGGCUGUCGUCAGCUCGUUCCGUGAGGAGUGCCCUUAAGUGGGACAACGAGCGCAACCCCUAUUACAUGUUAGAAAUGUCAUGUAAGACUGCCUUGCCAUUUGGCGGGGAGGAAGGAGGGGCAGACGUCAAGUCCGCAUGGUCCUUAUGCCCUGGGCUACACACAUGUUACAAUGAGUACGGCAAUGAGUCUGUCGCGAGCACGUAAGUGUAAGCUAAUCUCUUAAAUGUACUCUCAGUGGGGAUUGAGGUCUGCAACUCGACCUCAUGAACACGGAAUUGGUAGUAAUCGCGGGUCAGCUAUACCGCGGUGAAUACGUUCUUGCCUCUUGCA
rnacentral:rRNA from 1 species